rnacentral:rRNA from 1 species
GACGAACGCUGGCGGCGUGCUUAACACAUGCAAGUCGAACGGAAAGGCCCUGCUUUUGUGGGGUGCUCGAGUGGCGAACGGGUGAGUAACACGUGAGUAACCUGCCCUUGACUUUGGGAUAACUUCAGGAAACUGGGGCUAAUACCGGAUAGGAGCUCCUGCUGCAUGGUGGGGGUUGGAACGUUUCGGCGGGUGGGGAUGGACUCGCGGCUUAUCAGCUUGUUGGUGGGGUAGUGGCUUACCAAGGCUUUGACGGGUAGCCGGCCUGAGAGGGUGACCGGCCACAUUAGGACUGAGAUACGGCCCAGACUCCUACGGGAGGCAGCAGUGGGGAAUAUUGCACAAUGGGCGGAAGCCUGAUGCAGCAACGCCGCGUGCGGGAUGACGGCCUUCGGGUUGUAAACCGCAUUCGCCUGUGACGAAGCGUGAGUGACGGUAAUGGGUAAAGAAGCACCGGCUAACUACGUG